UACGAAGGUGGCAAGCGUUGUUCGGAUUUACUGGGCGUACAGGGAGCGUAGGCGGUUGGAUAAGCCCCUCCGUGAAAUCUCCAGGCUUAACCUGGAAAGUGCAGAGGGGACUGUUCAGCUAGAGGAUGGGAGAGGAGCGCGGAAUUCCCGGUGUAGCGGUGAAAUGCGUAGAGAUCGGGAGGAAGGCCGGUGGCGAAGGCGGCGCUCUGGAACAUUCUGACGCUGAGGCUCGAAAGCGUGGGGAGCAAACAGG
rnacentral:rRNA from 1 species